ensembl:rRNA 5S_rRNA 5S ribosomal RNA
GUCUAUGGCCAUACCACCUUGAACGUGCCUAUCUUGUCUGGUCUUGGAAGCUAAGCAGAAUCAGACAUGGUUAGUACUUGGAUGAGAGACCACCCUGGAACACCUGGUGGUAUUUAAA